rnacentral:rRNA from 1 species
GAUGAACGCUAGCUACAGGCUUAACACAUGCAAGUCGAGGGGCAGCGCAGUGUAGCAAUACGACGGGCGGCGACCGGCGCACGGGUGCGUAACGCGUAUCCAACCUUCCCGUUACUCGGGGAUAGCCUUCCGAAAGGGAGAUUAAUACUCGAUGGUGUUGAAAUUCCGCAUGUUAUUUCAACUAAAGAUUCAUCGGUAACGGAUGGGGAUGCGUGACAUUAGCUUGUUGGCGGGGUAACGGCCCACCAAGGCUACGAUCGUUAGGGGUUCUGAGAGGAAGGUCCCCCACACUGGAACUGAGACACGGUCCAGACUCCUACGGGAGGCAGCAGUGAGGAAUAUUGGUCAAUGGGCGGGAGCCUGAACCAGCCAAGUAGCGUGAAGGAUGACUGCCCUACGGGUUGUAAACUUCUUUUGUUUGGGAAUAAAAGACGCUACGUGUAGCGUUCUGCAUGUACCUUACGAAUAAGCAUCGGCUAAUUCCGUG